GACCUCGCGAUGGAUGACCCUGGUUCGAAUCCCUAGUGCGGUAUUCUUAAUGUUGGUUGUUUUGGGUGAGGUUUAAUGGCUUUCUACACAUUUUGAUUGGUCCUAUCGGGGGUAAUUAAUGUUAAAUUCAACGUAGCGUAAUCUUAAAACGUUGAAUGGGGAGGGGCGAUUAACUUAUACAAAGAACAAAGAUACUUUCUAAAAUAUUUUUUGUUGUGCGUUAUUGAAAUAGUUUUUCUGCGUGUAGGAGUGGGUGAGACCAAGUAUAGUAAAAGUUUUAAUACCCGUUUCAACGCUGUAAGACUACUAAAGAGGCAAUACCUCCGUAAAUAGCGUCCACCGCCGACUGGAUCGUGUUAAGUAGGUGUUGAGAUUUGAAAACCCUUCAAACAACCCAUAAUAUAUUCAUAAACAUUAUUGUUGGGAUUCGAACCAGAGUCAUAGACACCACAGCUUCACACGAUGGCAACAAAACUAACGAUGGAUAUUUUGUGUAAAAGAGAAGUAUAUUAUAAUUUGUUUUCCAUCGUAUAAGUUAUGGCGUGAGUCAUGUUCAGCACACUAAAACGAACGCUUUGAAGAAAGAAAAAUAGUUUCAUCUAUUUGUAUAAACACUUUGACAUCUUAGUGUUUAGUAUAAACCCCAGCCAUAAGCCAUUAAUUGAAAUAGUGGUGUAUGGAAAAGUCUUACCCUGAGCAGUCGAUUUGCGACGAUUGUUACGCCCCCAUCGACGCAGUCUAGGUCAUUCAGAGGACCGAAUGCUUCGUUCUUAUUUGUCAGGGGAAGCUAUCAGAGCUGGGCAUUUCCGGUGAACACCAAUUGAAUUGUAUCGAUAUCAUUUAAAAGUGUGCGGCUCUGAUAGUGCAUGGCUUUGAUACUUAAAACAAAAAUCGAAAGUGCGCGUCUUGAUACUUCAAGUUUUCAACCCUGCUUUUUUCAGGACAAUCAAGGGCAGAGAGGUGUGCAGCACCCCAACACACAGACGGGGACAUGAAGUAACAAUUCGGGUGCACCCUCAAAGGACAAACGUAAUGUUUGCAAGACUUUGAACUAAAAUCCUCGGAAAGACACACUUCUUGUCGAUGAUACUCUGGUCGUUCGAUACCAGUUUUUUUUUAUAGUUUUGAUACACAAGAAAAGCGUAAAAUACCAACAUAAAUAAUGGAUCCAGACUGUUACGGGUUUGAAACCUGGCUCCACAGAGUUCAUCCUAGUCUGCGACGCCUCUCCUUCAAACCAGCCGCCACUUUGGCCUCGUAGUUCUAGAGAACAAGGGAAGACAACCCUGCCUGCACCGCCCAGGUCCCCUCGUCUGGAGAGGCCUUUGUUUGGCUCGCAAACAGACCCGGACGUCCGAUGUGGAUGGGAGGUGCAGUUUUCGGCCCUGUGCUAAGUGUGUGGCUUCUGUGAUAGAUAUGUUAUGUUGUUCCAGGACCUUUCUAACCACACUCAGCCAGGUCCUUCUUGGUCUUCCUCUUGAUUUGAAGCCGGAUUCACGGGGUGGACACGACCCGCCCCCAACCACACCCACUUCUCCUUGUGUACCAGGAAACCAAACAGCGGCGAUGACGUAACACACACUCCAGCACUGGGACAUCAUCCGUUUCACUUGACGUCAUGCUCUUAAACCAGUCUGACGUCACAAGGAGCCUGGUCUGGCCCUGUCUCCCGCUCUGUCCAGGUCUCUGGAGUGCUCUUCACAUGAUUAACCCUUUGUAGCCGUGGCCGGGCGAUUAACUCUUGUCAGGCCGUUUGCUAGUGGACUAACGUCGUCCUAUGGGUUUUCUCCAAAGUGUCAUCGUGAGGAAUGGGGAGGAUUUUGUUGUGGAAUGAAAGAAUGCGAGGAUGGGUUGGUAGGCAGAUAGAGAGAGGGAAGGAAAGAGAGAGAGAGAGAGAGAGAGAGAGAGAGAGAGA